AUUGAACGCUGGCGGCAGGCCUAACACAUGCAAGUCGAGCGGAUCGGCGGACGGGUGAGGAAUGCCUAGGAAUCUGCCUGGUAGUGGGGGAUAACGUCAGGAAAUGGGACCUAAUACCGCCUACUCUCAGAUGAGCAUAGGUCGGAUUAGCUAGUUGGUGGGGUAAAGGCCUACCAAGGCGACGAUCCGUAACUGGUCUGAGAGGAGGAUCAGCCACACUGGAACUGAGACACGGUCCAGACUCCUACGUGAGGCAGCAGUGGGGAAUAUUGGACAAUGGGCGAAAGCCUGAUACAGCCAUGCCGCGUGUGUGAAGAAGGUCUUCGGAUUGUAAAGCACUUUAAGUUGGGAGGCGUUACCAACAGAAGAAGCACCGGCUAACUUCGUGCCAGCAGCCGCGGUAAUUC
rnacentral:rRNA from 1 species